rnacentral:tRNA from 1 species
UUAAUUGAAACCAAAUAGAGGUAAAUUAUUGUUAAUAAUUUUAUUGAAUAAAAUCAUUCCAAUUAGA